rnacentral:rRNA from 1 species
UACAGAGGAUGCAAGCGUUAUCCGGAAUGAUUGGGCGUAAAGCGUGCGUAGACGGUUAUGUAAGUCGGGUGUGAAAGCCCCGGGCUCAACCUGGGAAUUGCAUUCGAGACUGCAUAGCUAGGGUGCGGAAGAGGGAAGCGGAAUUUCCGGUGUAGCGGUGAAAUGCGUAGAUAUCGGAAGGAACACCAGUGGCGAAAGCGGCUUCCUGGUCCAGCACCGACGUUCAGGCACGAAAGCGUGGGGAGCAAACAGG